GAUUUUGCAUGUUUUUCGAAGAAUACUACUUUUGAUCAAUUUUUUAAGGUCAAGGGGUAACUGUGGCUCAAUGGUCACAAUUGAAAGGGAUUUACUUUAGCUUUCAAAACCAUUAUGUUUCGUAUGAUUCUCUCGAAAG